rnacentral:pre_miRNA from 1 species
AGCUGGAAACUUUGCCUGCGAAUUUCUGUGCUCAAAAAAUUUCAGUCAUUGUUUCUGGUCGU